ACCUACCAAAUCUACAAACAACACUAUCCUAUAAAUAUUCCCAAAUUUCAUAUCUCAAGAAACGGCCUGAGGUAGAGGGGUUUUAGUCGGUAGGUCCGAGGAUUUCUUCCUCGGGAAUCCGACACUACCCAGUCGUACGGACUGCUGGGUGUCUUUUGAAGAUUUCCCCUCUCCACGAAA
rfam:Agrilus planipennis Contig31076, whole genome shotgun sequence.